rnacentral:rRNA from 1 species
UACGGAGGAUCCAAGCGUUAUCCGGAAUCAUUGGGUUUAAAGGGUCCGUAGGCGGUUUAGUAAGUCAGUGGUGAAAGCCCAUCGCUCAACGGUGGAACGGCCAUUGAUACUGCUGAACUUGAAUUAUUAGGAAGUAACUAGAAUAUGUAGUGUAGCGGUGAAAUGCGUAGAGAUUACAUGGAAUACCAAUUGCGAAGGCAGGUUACUACUAAUGGAUUGACGCUGAUGGACGAAAGCGUGGGUAGCGAACAGG